rnacentral:lncRNA from 1 species
AAUCUCCAAAUCUCUCUAUAAACAUGUAGUUGGAGUUUCUAAAUAAAAACAACAACUAAGGCAUUGAGGAAAUCAAAUAUUUUUUACUCGUAACAUUAUAAAGGGAGGGACAUUUGGGAAGAUGAAAUUCGAGUGACCAUCCAAGAGGAACAGGGCUGAGAGGUACAAUGUGCUCUGCUCCCUGUGUAAGUGUAGUAGGCAAAGUUCUGUGGUGGCUUCUGUGAUUUUUGACACUGUCUGGGCAAGUCCUGAGUAUUUUCUCCCUUGAGUGUGGGCAGAGCCUCUGCAUAUGAACUAUUUGAAUAUUGGCUCCCUUGAUUCUGCCACUUUGCAUGUGCAAUGGUGAAGAGGUUACAUUAAAUACAUGGCAGACUGGGUGGGGGAUGAGAGUCUGCACCAUGAGCUCCCACCAGCCUGGGAGGAAGCAAAUCAUCGUGUGGCGUGAACAGCUUGUUGGGGGCACAUGGAGCUUCUGUGGGUGGCCUCAAACAGCUGGAAGUGAACUCCAGUGGACAGCUGCUGGAACAUCCAAAAAGCUUGGAAUUCAUCACCCACAUCUGUAGAACAAGAAAAUGCUGAGCAAAUUGAAAAUGGGUGACUUUUCUUUGACAUAUCAGAGAAGUGAGGUUGCAUGGGAAAGCACCAUCCUGAAAUCUGAAAGCGCAGGUGAGUUCAAAGAGUUAGAGCCUACUGGGCGCGGUGGCUCACUCCUGUAAUCCCAGCACCUUGGGAGGUCAAGGUAGGCGGAUCACC